CAUGGUCACACCUGAUGCUUGACAUGAGUCCAGAUGAACCUGUGCAAGGCUUUUAUUCAGAAGUCAGUGUUAUGACGGAGUCUGGAGAGCAUGUUGCUUCUUUUCAGGAUCAGUUGAGAGAUAUGGGAUUGUUUGGUGUCGUCAACAGUUUUGGACAAAGCAGAAUUCGCACAUGUAGGGGAGGAUAUUGCACCGAACAGGUGGACAGUCAUCCGGUACUCCUCUAGGUUCUUCGUUGUGUCCCUGUCCGGCCAUCACAGGAACCGCAGGAGUUCGAGGUCAUCCUGAUGGACACAUACCUGCGGCUGUCUGUCUCUGUUGUCCCCUGAGUUGAGGCCACCCUGAGGCCAAUGACAGUGGCAUUGCAAGGAUCAAUACCACCCACCCUGCCACCAUGAGCGAGGGAUCGAUGGAGAGUUUGGUUUUCUCUCUCUGGUUUCUCAUCAGCACUCUAACACCUCACACUUUCUCACACUGUAUUUAAGGAUAUAUGCAAACAUCCUUUUAUUAUUAUGAACUAUUGUUUAGAAAUUGGUCAUUGAAAUGAAAACCUUUUUGAAUGUCAUCCCCUCACAAUUCUUCAUGAUUUAAAGAAAAGGGAAUGAACCAAAAUCAGGAAGUAAUUAAUACAACUAUAAUACAGUAUAUCCAUGAAAUUUAUAAUAUGAAUAUUCCAAUGUUAAAGUUAAG